AGCAGCCGCGGUAAUUCCAGCUCCAAUAGCGUAUAUUAAAGUUGUUGCAGUUAAAAAGCUCGUAGUUGAAUUUCGGGGUUAGUAGGUUGGUCAUGCCUCUGGUAUGUACUGGUCUCACUGAUUCCUCCUUCCUUAUGAACCGUAAUGCCAUUAAUUUGGUGUUGCGAGGAAUUUUGGACUGUUACUUUGAAAAAAUUAGAGUGUUUAAAGCAAGCUAACGCUUGAAUACAUUAGCAUGGAAUAAUGAAAUAGGACGUUCGAUCUUAUUUUGUUGGUUUCUUAGGAUUGACGUAAUGAUUAAUAGGGAUAGUUGGGGGUCGAUUAGUAUUCAAUUGUCAGAGGUGAAAUUCUUGGAUUUAUUGAAGACUAACUACUGCGAAAGCAUUUGUCCAAGGAUGUUUUCUAUUAAUCAAGAACGAAAGUUAGGGGGAUCGAAGACGAUCAGAUACCGUCGUAGUCUUAACCAUAAACUAUGCCGACCUAGGGAUCGGAUGAUGUUUAAUUUUUUUAAAUUGACUCC
rnacentral:rRNA from 1 species